AUGUCUCUGGGGUAUACGUAAGCAACCUGUUUUAUCCCUUGAGCCUUAAAUACUAUCUUUGGGGACAUAGCUGUUUGUAAAGUGUGCAUUACCGCUCUGCGGGAAGCCUGACGUGCAAUCGCUGUUCCCACCUGAACCUGCCGGUUCAAGGUCGAUGGUGUUAGCUACGGUACUUCCGGAGACUUC
rnacentral:other from 1 species